UUCUAUUAUGUUACUGUUGGGGGUGAAUUCUGGGUUUUUGAAGUUCCAGGGCCUACCACCCCCAAACUCAAACCAACUGUAGAGUCACAAUUGCUUUAUUGGUGUGAAGAUGAUAUCUUCCGUCAUCAUUCAGUUCAGUAUUACCUAGUCGAGCUAUCUGGUGCACUAUCAUUUGUUAUUCGAUAUGCCUGUCAAUUUGAGGAUCAUAGAUAUAAGACCUAUAAAUUUGAAGUCUUUGAAGUAGAUUUAGUCAAGGGUGAAUUAAAGAUGGAGCCGAUUAAAACCUUGGGAAAUUUGGCCGUUUUUUUGGGUUCUAAUGCAUCAUGUUCCAUUGAAUCGUCUAAAUUUAUUGGAAUUAAGCCUAAUUAUAUAUAUUUUACGGAUGAUUGGCAUGAGAAAUUUCGCUGCUUAGAUGGUGCUGGGAGAGAUAUGGGAGCUUACAAUUUCGAAGAUGGGAAAAUUGAAUCUAUUUAUUCCGAUUUAUCACUAAGUCAUAUUUGUCCACCAGCUUGGAUUAUGCCAUUUCGAAUAAUGUGAUUCCUAGUUUGUCGGAUUAUAUUUUUUUUCCAUACCGUUAAUCUAUUUUUUCUUCUUAGUUUGUUAUUUUUUAAAAUUUAGUUUGCAAAUUUUAACUCUAUCAUUUGAUUCCUACUUAACAUUUUAUCUCCUAUGAAAUUGAAUAACUUUAUUGUUAGAACGGAAAAAGAUCUAAAAUAUGCUCGGAGUAUUGCAAAUGGUACAAAACUAUCCUCCAUACACCUAUGGGCUUCAAAAUGUCUUUCUCAUACACCUAUUGGCUUCAAAAUAUGCUUAUUUGACGGUUUUAAAUUUAAACUGUUUAAAUAUUUCUUUUAAAUACUUGGCGCUCAACUAUUGAUUAUAAUUUAAUUUAUUAAUAUCAUUUAUAAACCAUAUAACUAUCCACUCAUUAAUAAUUAAAUUCUAUCCAUUUAAUAAACUAAUUCUAAUAUCAAAAUAGACCUAAACACUACUAAAACACGAUGAAAUUAUUCGAGUCUGAAUCAAAUCCCAAUUUAAUUUAGGUUGAGCCGCAUAUUAAGGAAGACACUUUUGAAGUUUUCCGGUAGAAAUGUCAAUGAAGGGGGAAAGUGAAGAGUGGAAGAAGCGGAAUUAUAGCCGUUAGCUUAGCUUAUUUGCUAUUGACUAUAUUAUGAUGACUCAUAUAAAAGUGUAUAUUCACAAACUUAGCUUUAUUUCAAUUUAUUAUUUAUAAACUUUACUUUAUAUUUAACUUUAUUUAUCCAUAUUUUACUGACACUCAAAACUUUUUUCCUUUUUCGUCCGUAAUGAUAUAAUCAGUAUAAUUUUAUAAAUAAUUGCGGAGAGAAUAAAAGGUAAUAAUAAUAGAAUAAAUGUGUCACGCGUACUUUAUUAUGAGCUAUCAAAGCACGGCUUAGUCAAUCGUUUAAAUGAAUUCGGAAAGAAUAGGAAAUAAUAAUAGAGUACAUCUGUCCCAAAGUACUUAGCCACGAAAUAUUAAAUCACGCUUAUUUAAUCAAUAGUCGAAUAAAAUAUCUUCAAAUAAUUUUAAAAAUAAGAAAAAAUUGUUCUUAAUUUUUCGUCUGGUGCAUGAUACUUGUAUAAACAGAUUGUAGUUUAAAAUUUGAAGUUUCUGAUUUGUUUACGUUAAGAUCAAAUUAUAUUAAAUGUGUUCACAAUUAAUUAUAUAUAUAUAUAUUUAUUAUUUUUUAAUAUAUAAAUAUAUAUAUGAGUACAGAGAAUACUAUUAGAUUCUUGUGAACUCAUAAAUAAUGGAGUAAAACUUUGGAUCUGCAUACAGACGGACUAAAUUCGAUGUAUGACUAAGAAUAAUUUUUUUUUAUUCAAAUUCAACAUCAUUAAUUAGGAAAAUUAUUUAUUGAUUUAUCAUAAUUGGUAGAUUAUCAAUUUGUUCCUUGAGAUAUAUACUUUUAGCACAUUUAACCUUUACUUUAAUUAAUUAAAAUGUAUGUUUUUACUCCCAUUAUAUGGAAAAUAUGUUAUAUUUAAUCUAUUUUAAGAAAUACAUUAUCCUCAAAUAUGCAGUAACAAUACGAGUUUAAUAUAACCUAUGGAUAAAUUAAGUGAUAAAACUAUUACUAUUUGUGGGGGAUGCUAUUUUUAAUCAUAAUUUGGGUAACAUCUUUGUUAUACUAAAAAAACAUCAUGUUAAUUGAACUUUUUAAAUUUUAAAUUCAAUGUAUUGCACAAAAAAAAAGGACCAAAUUGUUGAGUGACAUAACAAACACCUUGGCUUUAGGAAUGGGUUCCAAAUUAGUAUUACAAAUCCAGAAAAUCUCUCUUAAAAAUCAACAAUUAACUAAUUCUAAUUAAUUAUUACUCUCCUUUCAAUAUCUACAGUAAAAGUAAAAUAGUAAAAACUGGUCCUUCUUUUGAAGUGGAUUUGUAAUUAUCGAUCUGAUAUUCAAAUUAUAAAAAUGAAAAAAAUGAUUAGAGAGUACUUUAUUUUUUAAUAGUUGGUAUAUUACACGAUAAGAAUAAUAUAAACACAAAUAAUACUGAGUGAAAGCAAAUAAAUUAGAUGCAAAAAUAUUUUUUUAAAAAAAUCAUCCAUAAUGAGCGAUUAGUCAAACAUCUUUCUUUGCAUAGAAAGUCAUGAUUUAUUUUUCAUAUAUUUAUAUUGAAUAUUAAAUGUUUUUAAUAAAUUUUUCGACUUAGCCCUGUAUCAACCAAACAAAAAUGAGAAAAUGUUGCAUAGAUUUGAAGUUGAGUCACUAACAUAUUAUAAAUUAUAACAAAGAGAAUCAAAUAGAUUUAUUUGAUAUCUAAGAAGAUAUGAUAUCUGAAUUAUGAUUUGCUUUAUGUUUAAUUAGCUUAAUGAUGCAUCACAUUUUUUUUCUCCUUUAAACUUUGAGUCACUAUUGAAACUUUGAAAUCUAUUUUAAAAAUAAAAUAAAUUAGAAUAAAGCAGAGGACAAGUGGACAAGAGUUUACGUUUGAGUAGAUGUGCUUGUAAAUGCUAAGUUCUUAUAUUUAAUAUGUAUUUUUUUAAUUGUCAAAUUUUAAAUUUAAAUCAUGAAUAUAAAAUUGUUUAUAUUAAAGAAUUUUAUAUUUCUAAUAUGAGAGUAUAUUAUGAUAAUAAAAGUGAUGGUGGCGUAUAAGCCUUUUAUAAAAUAUAACUACACUUUAAACUCUUUUUUUAAAAAAAAUAUUAAUUUUAACGAAGCUAGAUAAUUUUUGUUCAAAAACAAUGUAUUUAUAUUAAGAAAGAAUGAGACAUAAGGUCGGUUCACUUCCCUUAGACCGUUGAGGGUGGCUUUGAGUCAGACCUUUGUCUUCUUUUCUUUUUAUUUUCAGCUUUAUAAUUUUUAUUUUAUUUUUGAAUUUUCAAAUUUGAAUUAUUUCUUUUAGUUCUCUUUUUUUUAUUUGGGUCAAAAUGGAUGAUAGUUUAUAAAUAAGUUGCAACUCUGACUAUAUAAUAUAAUGCGUUAACAAUUUAACUAUACUUCAAUUUCAAAUAAGUUGGUAGAGAAAAUAUUUGAGUUAAUGGUCAAAAAUAUAAUUGAAUUAUCGAAUUUUUGCAAGUUUCAUACAUUAAUUGUCUAUCGUUCAAUUUAUUAGUCAAACUAUCACUUUAUUUGUAUUAACACACACCUAGAUGUUGAGUUGGUUUAUGCUCACUUAUUGUCGAGUAGAAUAAUAAUAGGCCAAAUUAGGAUCGAGGUGUGUUUUAAUACAAAGGGAGUGAGUGUUUAGGAGGUCAUUACAGAUCAUGCCACAUAGGACUCAUUGCAGAUUGUUAGAGAAACUACUCAAGCUGAAUGCACUUAGCAGAAAAAGUUGACAUUGCAGAAAUAACAAAGCUACAUGUAAAGACACAAAGAAUGAUAUACUAUCUAUACAAUGGCCAUAUAUUCACAAUUGUCUCUAAGUUGAACCUAUCUGGUGCUUUGAGCUAACAUGUCUUGCAGGUUCAUAGGGUAACACAUAGGUGUAUGCAGGCUGGACCAGACGUUGUCAGCGAGGAUAGCAUUCACAGCAUCAGUCGGAUGGAAUUGAUCCCACCAGAUGUGGCUAGAGGCGUUACUGCACGCCAUUUCAGGGGAAACACACAUGAUCCAACCUUUAUAUUCACCUAAACCACAGCAAGCCUCAUCUGUCACAUUGAAACCUAUAAUGAAAAUUGAAAAAAACAGUUUGUCAGAUUUGAACUUCUCGCCUGACAUGUCCUGUGAAAUGAGAUCCUACACAUUGCCUCACCAUAACGGUUGUAAUUCUGAAUAAUGUCCAUUGAACCUUCAAAUGCAUCGCAGAAUAUGAUAGUGGCAUCAACAAGCUCUUCAUUUAGUUCAGAAACCAUAUAUCUUACAGCAAAAAUCAUGUCAUUUAUGUUCUUGACACACUCCCCAUUCUCGCUACUGUACAACCAUAAGUAGUAAGGUGCACAGCCUGUUGGAGCCAGUCCCAUUACAACCACUUUUCUCACUUUGUCAUUGUACAGGUUCUGUGGCACCAGUACAUACACGUUAGAAGGAAAACAUUAACCAGCAAAGUAACCUAAUAUCUGCACAUUGAACUUAAUAAUCGUGGAAACAAUGCAGGGGAAAUUGAAACAUAUAAUGCAUGAUAGAGGGAGCAAAGAGGCUAGAUGGUUUGUAUAAAGCUGCAAAAUGUCGAAGAAGGCAACUGCAUAAAGAAGACAGUAUUAAGAUUUUGUAUAGAACAACACUGCACCUUGAUCUGUUGUUUAAUCGUCUGUGCUAAAAACUGGUUGAAACUCCAUGGCAGGUAAACAGUUAAAACAUUUGAGGCAUUCGGGAUAUAGUAGUGAAUGAAGUCAUUGCUCCCAAUCGAAAUGUAAAACAAGCAAUGCUGACCCUGCAUAAACACUAAUAUAAUUUAACUACUACAAAAUCAAUAAUCAUAAAAUGUAGUACGUGGAAAUUGAUUCGUAUAAGAUAAAACAUUACCACUUCCGAGCCAGUUGAGAAUAUAAUAUCAACACCAGCAGAAAGAUAAUUGUACCCAAGAACCAUCUGUUCUAAAAAAUCAGACUGUACUAGAUAGCUAGGCACAAAUGGUAAUCCAAGAUGCAGCGCUGGUACAAUCAGAAUGGACAAGAAACAAUGGAUAGAAAAUUAGCUAUCUUUAACCAAAAGAUCCUAAGAAUUCAUCAUUGAAUUCCACAAAACCAGUACAAGCAUUUUGAGCUUGAAUAGGAUAAAUGACGAGAAAUUUACAGCAAAAGAUCCGUCCGCCGAUUCACUGAAAAUCGAACAAUUCUUUCUCAAAGAAAAUUAAUCAAACAAGUAGCAGUAUCAAAUUUCAAAAGAGACAAGAUAUUAACAGAAAAAGAUCAUGAACCAUUUCAUUAAGAGUUCAAUCUUUUCUCUCUCUCGAACGCGUAGCAGUCUCUGUUUCAAAACUCAAUAGUCGAACAACAAAAAAUCGAAACUUUCCCCAAAUUUCACUACCCAAUAGUUAAAUUUUCCACAAAUCCCAAAAACCAAAUUGAUAAAUGCCAGAAAGUUCAAGAACAGAGUGAUGAAAAAAAAGAUAACUGCUUUUGGUGGGAGGUAUAACUAACUUGAAACCAUGAAUAUUUUCCAUUAACAUUGACCCGAAAAUUGCAACAUUCACAAAAUUAGCAAAAAAACCUUACAUAUCGGAAUUCUACUAACAAAUAUCAAGAAAUUUAAAUCAGACGAAAUUAUAAAAACUUACCAUCCUUAUCUGUGAGAGUAAAACGUUUCGUGUUCGGCUCUUUCACCUUUAGUCCGAAAAUAAUUUCCACAUUGAUUGCAUUUAUUACUUUCAACGGUCUCAAUCUGGCGGUGUACAAGUUUGUAAUGAUCUUUAAGCUCAGCAUCGUUGCGGUAUUUCUUCUGGCAGCCAAUAAAAUCGCACUUUGAAUUAGUUGUUGAAGGAGGAUCUCUAAGUAGAUCAUUUUUCUUUCUAUCAGAGUAAACAUCAUAACGAGACGACAUAGGAGAAGGUUGAAAUGAUUUUUGUGUUUCUAAAAGAGAAUUACAGAAACUUUGUGUAUACCACUAAAAUAAAAAAGUUAACUACAUCUUUGUAUUAGUGUCCAAGUCUGAAGCUGUUACUAACUGCUAGUAACUAACUAACAAGCUCUGUAGAAUCACCCAGCUUCACAAAAUACCCACUUACAGACCUUUUUUUUUUUUUUAAAUUGGUUAUCAGAAUUUGAUAUUCCUAUCAUAAAUGGAUUACUUAAAAAGGUUUUUUAUUUUUUACCCUCUAGAAAAAAAUAAAAAAUGUUUUUUUCUAAAAAAAUGUUUUUAUUUUUAUUUUUACUAAUCAAAUACUAAAAAAUAUUUUUCACCUACUAACUAGACAUGAGAAAAUAAAUUUUAAAUUACUUUCUUUUUCAAAAAACAUUAUUUACGAUGAAAAACGUUUUUCUUCCUACCAAACCAAUUAUACGAUAUUCAGUUGUCAAAUGUUCUCUUCCAAUAAGGUGAAUGGAAAUUUUCUUUAUUCAAUAGAACAACUUUCAUGUAUAGCAUAAAAAUUAUAUUUAUGCUGUUAUAGUUAUACUUUAUACUUGUAUAAUUGCGAUUCAUAACAAGAUUUUUUUUUUUAUAGAGCUUUUGAUUUGUUACACACAUCCAAUUUUAUACAAAUUGUUUAGUUUUGUAUAAAUUCAUAUAUAUAUAUUGUAAUUUAUAUAAUAAAAUAUUUAUUUGUACAAUAUAAUUAUAUUGGACGAAAAUAUAUGUAUUCGUAUUUGUAUAUAUAUUUUUUCUCUCACUUUAUACAAACACAAAAGUAUUUUAUACAUUUUAUAUUGAAAUGACUAAUUUGUAUAUCGAAAAUGACUAGGUGUAUAUAAUUUCUUUCUAUAUAAUUCGAUUCAAUUGUAUAUAAUUGUCAUAUACAACGAAUUACACUAUAUAUGUUUGCUAAUUAUGUAAACUUUGCUAUAACAGAAUUAUAUAUGAAAUUGAUAUAUAUAUAUAUAUAUAUAUAUAUAUAUAUAUAUAUAUGUGAUGUCCAUGUUAAUAGGGGAAGUAUGUUUGGGCUUGUCCAAAUCCUUAUCCGAAUUGAAAUAGGUAUAAUUGCAGGCGUCCCUAUAUAUACUUAUAAUAUGUACCUCUUGUCUUGACCUAGAUCAAGAAGAAAUGGCAGGCGGCUGGGCAGAUUUGCCCAUUGAUCUUCUUGUUGAGAUUGCAAAUCGUAUUGACGUGCUCAAAGAUUUCAUUGUUUUUACUUGUGUUUGUACCUCUUGGAAAAUUGCUGCCCCAAAGGAUAAAUUUGAUGUGUUUUCCCCUCAAGUUCCCUUGUUAAUGUUGGCUGAUAAAGAUAACGAUUAUCGAGAAUACUAUUCACUUUCCAAGAAGAAAGUUUCCAGUAUAUUCCUGCCUGAAGCUAGAGGACGAGAGUGUUGUCCAUCCGAGGGAUGGCUCUGCACCAUGGAAGAUAGUACCGGAGACAUGAACUUGUUACAUGCUUUGUCCCGUAUCGAAAUUCAACUUCCUUCGCGAGAUGACUUAAUGGCUUCGAACGGUCUAGGAGAUGAUCAAGUGUUAUGGGACUGGACGGUUAAGGCCGUCUUAUCUGCCAAUCCUUCUAUUACAUCAGACUACAUAUUGGUGGUUAUGUAUCAUGCAAAUAUUAAUCGUUUGGCUUUUUGGCGACCUGGAGAUCUCAAUUGGACUAAUAUUAAUAUUAGCGUGGACAGAAUGGGUGAUAUCAUGGAUAUGAAUUAUUAUAAAGGUAAAUUCUAUUAUGUUACUGUUGGGGGUGAAUUCUGGGUUUUUGAAGUUCCAGGGCCUACCACCCCCAAACUCAAACCAACUGUAGAGUCACAAUUGCUUUAUUGGUGUGAAGAUGAUAUCUUCCGUCAUCAUUCAGUUCAGUAUUACCUAGUCGAGCUAUCUGGUGCACUAUCAUUUGUUAUUCGAUAUGCCUGUCAAUUUGAGGAUCAUAGAUAUAAGACCUAUAAAUUUGAAGUCUUUGAAGUAGAUUUAGUCAAGGGUGAAUUAAAGAUGGAGCCGAUUAAAACCUUGGGAAAUUUGGCCGUUUUUUUGGGUUCUAAUGCAUCAUGUUCCAUUGAAUCGUCUAAAUUUAUUGGAAUUAAGCCUAAUUAUAUAUAUUUUACGGAUGAU
rnacentral:lncRNA from 1 species